rnacentral:rRNA from 1 species
AUUGAACGCUGGCGGCAGGCCUAACACAUGCAAGUCGAACGAGUGGCGGACGGGUGAGUAAUGUCUGGGAAACUGCCUGAUGGAGGGGGAUAACUACUGGAAACGGUAGCUAAUACCGCAUACCAUCAGAUGUGCCCAGAUGGGAUUAGGGUGUUGGUGGGGUAACGGCUCACCAAGGCGAAGAUCCCUAGCUGGUCUGAGAGGAUGACCGGCGACAUUGGAACUGAGACACGGUCCAGACACCGCCGGGAGGCAGCAGUGGGGAAUAUUGCACAAUGGGCGCAAGCCUGAUGCAGCAAUGCGGCGUGUAUGAAGAAGGCCUUCGGGUUGUAAAGUACUUUCAGCGUGGAGGCGUUACCCGCAGAAGAAGCACCGGCUAACUCCGUGCCAGCAGCCGCGGUAAUUC